UUUCCGGUUGAUCCUGCCGGACCUGACUGCUAUCGGAUUGAUACUAAGCCAUGCGAGUCUUUGCAGUAAUGCAAGGCAUACGGCUCAGUAACACGUAGUCAACUUACCCUAUGGACGAGGAUAAUCUCGGGAAACUGAGCAUAAUACUCGAUAGAUCAUAAUGCCUGGAAUGGUUUAUGGUUGAAAUGAUUCGUCGCCAUAGGAUGGGACUGCGGCCUAUCAGCUUGUUGGUGAGGUAAUGGCCCACCAAGGCGAUUACAGGUACGGGCUCUGAGAGGAGAAGCCCGGAGAUGGGUGCUGAGACAAGGACCCAGGCCCUAUGGGGCGCAGCAGGCGAGAAAACUUUGCAAUGUGCGAAAGCACGACAAGGUUAAUCCGAGUGAUUUCUGCUAAAGAAAUCUUUUGCAAGUCAUAAAACCACUAGUGAAUAAGGGGUGGGCAAGUUCUGGUGUCAGCCGCCGCGGUAAAACCAGCACCUCAAGUGGUCAGGAGGAUUAUUGGGCCUAAAGCAUCCGUAGCCGGCUCUGUAAGUUUUCGGUUAAAUCCAUGUGCUCAACGCAUGGGCUGCCGAAAAUACUGCAUAGCUAGGGAGUGGGAGAGGUAGACGGUACUCGGUAGGAAGGGGUAAAGUCCUUUGAUCUAUCGAUGACCACCUGUGGCGAAGGCGGUCUACCAGAACACGUUCGACGGUGAGGGAUGAAAGCUGGGGGAGCAAACCGGAUUAGAUACCCGGGUAGUCCCAGCUGUAAACGAUGCAGACUCGAUGAUGCAUUGGCAUAUAGCCAGUGCAGUGUCGCAGGGAAGCCGUUAAGUCUGCCGCCUGGGAAGUACGUACGCAAGUAUGAAACUUAAAGGAAUUGGCGGGGGAGCACCACAAGGGGUGAAGCCUGCGGUUCAAUUGGAGUCAACGCCGGA
rnacentral:rRNA from 1 species